UCAGCUCUCUUUGCCUUUUGGCUUAGAUCAAGUGUAGUAUCUGCUCUUUUCAGUUUAAUCUCUGAAACGGGCCACACGUUUGGCUCGCAUCGUUGAUUAUCUUAUUUUUGACCCCUCGGGGCCCGAUUACCCUCUAGGCAUGCUCAUGGUUCGGCUCCACCGUGUCCCUGGUACUACACUGCUUCCAGGCGACGCAAAGGCCU
rnacentral:snRNA from 1 species